UAGGGAAUCUUCGGCAAUGGACGAAAGUCUGACCGAGCAACGCCGCGUGAGUGAAGAAGGUUUUCGGAUACGUAAAACUCUGUUGGUAGAGAAGAACGUUGGUGAGAGUGGAAAGCUCAUCAAGUGACGGUAACUACCCAGAAAGGGACGGCUAACUACGUGCCAG
rnacentral:rRNA from 1 species